CCCAUGGUGUCUCUGCACUGUGUCUAUGCUGUCCCCAUCCCCUUCGGUGUCCCGAUGCUGUUCCCUCAAUAUUCCCGUUCUGUCUCCAUGGUGUCCCUGUGGGGUGUCCCCUUGAUAUUCCCAUACUGUCCCCAUACUGUCCUCAUACGGUCACCCUGCUGUCCCCAGAGGAUGUCCCCUUGGUGUCCCCAGUACCUCCCGCUGUUGUUCCCAUACUGUUCCCUUGGUGUCCCCCUGGUGCUCCCACACUGUCCCCACACUGUCCCCUCUCUCCAGGGUCCCCCACUCUGGUGGGCACCAUCAGCAGGUCCCAGCUGGUCACCUUCCUCCAGAGCCACAAGCACCCUCAGGCCCCCCAAGGGGAGAAGCUGGCCACCGUGGGGACACUCGGGGACGACUGUGCCAUCGAGCCCAUCAUGCUCCAGUUCUCCCCGUGGACCUCCCUGCACCAGGCCUAUCACCUCUUCCAGCUGCUGAAGCUGCAGCGAGUCUUUGUCACCCGCUCUGGGGAGCUGGUGGGAGCCGUGAGCAGGGCAGAGGUGGGAAAAAA